GUGAGGAAUUUUCCGCAAUGGGCGAAAGCCUGACGGAGCAAUGCCGCGUGAAGGAUGAAGGCCUAUGGGUUGUAAACUUCUUUUCUCAGAAAAGAAUUAUGACGGUAUCUGAGGAAUAAGCAUCGGCUAACUCUGUGCCAGCAGCCGCGGUAAGACAGAGGAUGCAAGCGUUAUCCGGAAUGAUUGGGCGUAAAGCGUCUGUAGGUUGUUUAAAAAGUAUUCUGUCAAAGAUUAGGGCUUAACCCUAGAUAGGCAGAAUAAACUUUUAAGCUAGAGUUUGGUAGAGGCAGAGAGAAUUCCCGGUGGAGCGGUGAAAUGCGUAGAUAUCGGGAGGAACACCAAAGGCGAAGGCACUCUGCUGGGCCAAUACUAACACUGAGAGACGAAAGCGAGGGGAGCAAAUGGGAUUAGAAACCCCGGUAGUCC
rnacentral:rRNA from 1 species